rnacentral:lncRNA from 1 species
GCAUACUAUAUAGUACGCAAGUAUGCGAUUUCAGACUUAACGUGGUUUGUAUUCAAAGGUUUUAAAACUGUCUGUCACCCUCUGGUGGCUCAGUAGAAUCGGUGGUUUUAUUAAUUUUUUUGUUUCGACUGUACGUCGCUAACUCCUUUCUGCAACGUAUUCAACAAUAUAGCUAGCAAGCUAUAUAUAUUUGUGUUUAUAUAUUUGUGUGUGUGUGUAUAUAUAUAUUAAAUCAUCACUUGUAAACCGAUGAUGCGACUCGGAACAGUGACAGUACUGUAAAAAGCUCGAGACUUCACAGCUAGGUCACAUGAGUGAAAACAGUCAUACCCGCAUACAUCUGUGGAAAUCGAGUUAGAACAAGCUAGCCGCUUGCAAACUGCUUGCAAAGGGACUGCUAGAAGAAAAGCAUCGGAGUGUUUGGAAGCGUUCUUCGUAGUUUGGCAACGCAGUUUGAACGUUGACUACGGUCCACAUAAUGACCGACACAAAAAAUCGUCCCAUGUGACCUAGGACCCAGUGUAGCACAUGAUCCGGACCAGCAGAGCUCGGAGAAGGCUUCAAUAAUUCAAGGGUAAAUCAAAUCUCUUCCCUAAUUCAUGGUAAUGGUUAACCACGUUCCCCUUCAUCCUUUCUGUUGUGGGGGGAUUUUGGGUUGGCGUUAAAUUGCCCGGCUUGUCACUUAUGAAAUAAAGCACUAACAUGCCAGUGUUUUGAUAGGUUUCAGAAUAUCCACGCUGAGCAGUAAAGGUAAGUUCAGUUUCUCUGCACAUAAUUUAUGAAAACCAGUUUGACAAACCUGACGGCUAUUGUGCUGUGUGUUUUUGGUUACACACUACAUCCCGUCCCCUAGGCAGAGUUUGA